rnacentral:rRNA from 1 species
AGUGGCGGACGGGUGAGUAACGCGUGGGCAACCUGCCCCAUACCGGGGGAUAACAGCCGGAAACGGCUGCUAAUACCGCAUACGCCCAGGAGGCUGCAUAGCUUCCUGGGGAAAACUCCGGUGGUAUGGGAUGGGCCCGCGUCUGAUUAGCUCGUUGGCGGGGUAACGGCCCACCAAGGCGACGAUCAGUAGCCGGCCUGAGAGGGCGGCCGGCCACAUUGGGACUGAGACACGGCCCAGACUCCUGCGGGAGGCAGCAGUGGGGAAUAUUGCACAAUGGGGGAAACCCUGAUGCAGCGACGCCGCGUGAGCGAUGAAGUAUCUCGGUAUGUAAAGCCCUAUCAGCAGGGAAGAAAGUGACAGUACCUGACUAAGAAGCCCCGGCUAACUACGUGCCAGCAGCCGCGGUAAUACGUAGGGGGCAAGCGUUAUCCGGAUUCACUGGGCGUAAAGGGAGCGCAGGCGGCACGGCAAGUCUGGUGUGAAAACCCGGGGCUCAACCCCGGGACUGCAUUGGAAACUGCCGGGCUGGAGUGUCGGAGGGGUAAGCGGAAUUCCUAGUGUAGCGGUGAAAUGCGUAGAUAUUAGGAGGAACACCAGUGGCGAAGGCGGCUUACUGGACGAUGACUGACGCUGAGGCUCGAAAGCGUGGGGAGCAAACAGGAUUAGAUACCCUGGUA